rnacentral:rRNA from 1 species
UACAGAGGGUGCAAGCGUUGUUCGGAAUUAUUGGGCGUAAAGGGCGCGUAGGCGGCGCGGUAAGUCACCUGUGAAAUCUCCUGGCUCAACUGGGAGCUUGCAGGCGAAACUGCCGUGCUGGAGUGUGGGAGAGGGAAGCGGAAUUCCUGGUGUAGAGGUGAAAUUCGUAGAUAUCAGGAGGAACACCGGCGGCGAAGGCGGCUUCCUGGCCCAUUACUGACGUUCAGGUACGAAAGCGUGGGUAGCAAACAGG